rnacentral:tRNA from 1 species
CCAUCGGUGGUUCAGUGGUAAGAAUGCUCGCCUGCCACGCGGGCGGCCCGGGUUCGAUUCCUGGCCGAUGCU